rnacentral:rRNA from 1 species
CUACGGGAGGCAGCAGUCGAGAAGCUUCGGCAAUGGGCGAAAGCCUGACCGAGCGACGCCGCGUGAGCGAUGAAGGCCCUAGUGGUUGUAAAGCUCUGUCAGAUUGGGACGAAUACCUGGCGGUUAAUACCCGUCAGGUUUGACGGUACCUUCAGAGGAAGCACCGGCUAACUACGUGCCAGCAGCCGCGGUAACACGUAGGGUGCAAGCGUUGUUCGGAUUCACUGGGUAUAAAGGGUGUGUAGGCGGCUUGAUAAGUCAGAGGUGAAAUCUACCGGCUCAACCGGCAAAUUGCCUCUGAAACUGUCAGGCUUGAGUCCGAGAGAGGAAGGUGGAAUUCCUGGUGUAGCGGUGAAAUGCGUAAAUAUCAGGAGGAACACCGGUGGCGAAGGCGGCCUUCUGGCUCGGUACUGACGCUGAGGCACGAAAGCCAGGGGAGCGAACGGGAUUAGAUACCCCAGUAGUC